CAUGCAAAUAGCCAGUGAAGUAAUUUUAGCAAUAAUAUGUGAUAAUAGAGGUGGCAGAGCGCAAAUUACUAUAUAGGAAGAAGUCUCCCUCCGAGGGGAAGUUAUAAUUAUGUCCUUUCCGGUGACCUUGGGUUUUCUUGCUAAUCUAAGGUUGCAUCCAAGAUAUUUUUGCAUCUAGUGACUUCUAAGGGUGUUAGCGGCGCGAGGAGAGUAUUUGUUUUAAAUUUUCUGAAGGUUAAAUGGUCGGGUAUACGUAGCCAAAUAUUACAAAGUUUCAACUCACUUUCUAAAUUCUAAUGACCUAUUGCAUAUCAUAUACACGUCAGUUCUAUUUACAACAACACGUACUGAUAUAGGGAUUGGCAAACUAAAAGUUAAGCCUUUUGAACAAAACUGAUAAGCAUUGAUAUUUUUUAACGACACUGAUAAGCAUUGACAAAUAAAGUUAAGCUCGACAACGGUCUCUCAGUAGUUAGUUCAGUUGGUUAGAGCGCUCCACCGCCGACCGGGCAGGGCCGCAGGUUUGUUCCUGCCUGAGGUUGAUAUAUGUUGUAUUUUUCGCAACUGCUCAUGGUUAGGUUUAAUAAAUGUAUAAAGAUUCCACUCGAAAUUUCCAUCUACAAAUCCCUUCAACAUGCAAGUAGUUUUAUUGAGUGAGAUGCCCCAAAUCCUGAUAUUUCACUAUGCUUUUUAUCGACACGAGAUUUUAAAAGAUAUUCCUUGGAACAGUAAAGACUAAAGAUUUAAAACGUGAAAAAAUUUAACAUUUUCACAAGAUUUAAGAAAUCUUCCUUGACUACGUGUGAAAUAUAUACGUCGCCGAAAAUUUAAUAAUUAUGCUUUUACCCUGUAGAAAUCAAUUCUCACUGCUUAAUUUAUGAUACUCAACUAUACUCAAAUUUGGGCGCAUAGGAAAACAGUGUUCACUCAAUCUUGGGGGAUAUUUGAUUUUAUUCUGCAUCUUAAAAAUCCAAGAUAUAAGCUUAAGGACUAAAAUCAAGACGUAUUAAGAUAUAAGGACUAAAAUCCAGACGCCUGAUGUUUCGGCCUUUAUAUUCACUAGCAGCCUGAGGAUAAAAAUAGCAUGGAGGUAGCCUGCUGAUAGGAUGCGAUAAAGAGAAAAGUCUUCCCCUUUUGUAAUUAGCAUAAAAUGCGGCCCAACUGACACGAAGCUUAGUUAUGCACAGGCCAGUGCAUAAUGCGCAGUUUAACAGUGAGUAUAUAGCAGUAUUGAAGCAUUAGUAUCAUAAGUUGUGGUUGGCACUCGUCCCAUAUUUUAUCCUGCUUGAUCAUAAUAUAAUAAAAGGUAAGUUGAUUGAGCGAGCGAUCGAGGACUAUUCACGCAUGUUAUUGAGUUAGUUUACACUUAUUACAGUUACAUCCAUUGUAUAUAUAUAUAAUUAUAUGUAGCUUAAUGUAUAUUACAGGUUUCUAUAUACUUCUAAACAGAGAUGUAUUCUAAACCACUGGUAAUCACUAUCUUGGCUUUUUACAUUGCGCUUUCGUUUGCUCACAUAAUCAUGAAGGUAAGCUUUUCCUUAGUUGUAGCCAUAAUCUCUUGAUAGCUUUUAUUUUAAAGUACUAUUUACAACAUGGACGGUCGUGUAUCGUAAACCAUCAAGAAGUGCCAUUUUACCAACUUUAAACCGUCAUAAAAUGCGAAGCCGUGAAGGAUUUGCCGAAAUUCAUUUUCGUUUUCACGGCAGAAAUACUUGAAAUCAUGUCAAGAUUUGACACCAAUAACUCAAUAAGAAACAAUUUUGGGGUUAGGUGCACUUUUUAAAAUCUAGACUAGCAAUUCCCCCUCCGGUCCCCCUCCUUGGUCCCGAAUGUCCUAGGAAUAUCGCCCCGUCUUUGGGAAUUUUGCUUUCCCUUGCAAUCGCGCGAACAUAAGAGGCCAUAAGUUGGAAUCGUAAAUACCAUUCUUAUCUGGCAUGCAACAGCAAACAUAAUAUUUCGAACGCUUUUUUUUCGUCUCUAUCUGGUAACAUAUUUAACCGAGGCUAGUAAUUUAACUGUGGUCUGUGCAUAUUCUACUUUGUCCUUAUUUGGGAGCCUAAUAAUUUAGCUAACGAUCCUGGGCAAAUUUCCCCUCUCCAACUUGCCCCCCGCCCCCCUCCCCUCUGAGUUGCCCUGGUUAUUUUACUGCAUACAUAUAGGAAAAUACAGAAUACAUCAAUCUUCAAUUUUGGACAAAAACCCUUAAGACCGUUCCAGCGAAUAUUGCAAAGUUAAUGCACAUUGACAAAACAAACUUUGUCUGAACCCCCCCCCCCUCCCCAGUUUCAUGUCGCGUAAACAACGCCGAAACAAUUUUUGGUAAUUUAUCAUGACAAAAGCUCAACAUUGAGUUGGAGAAGCGGGGGUAUAAGUGCAUCGUAGCUCAACAUGGAAUUUUAAGGGGUAUGAGGGGAAAAUAGUCUUAAUCAGUUAUGUCCAAGAUUGUAGCUAGUAGUACGUAUAUAUAAUAGCCAAUGUGAUUAGUUGAAAAGAAGUUGUUCCUUACUGUAUAUGGCACAUGCACAAAGUCCUAAAUUGCCGGUCGUAUAUUUUAACAGAAAGUGGAUAUUUCAAAUGGGGUUGACCCAGGAAUAUGUAACAAGAGCAGUCGUGGUUUGGUAAAGUUGAUUAGAGAUCGUUCCAACAAUAAUGGACUAUUUAUUUGUUCCUAUCAAAUUGGCAAAUAUGUCUGGAGUACAAUGGACGGUAUGUUCCAG
rnacentral:lncRNA from 1 species